UAAAAAGUUUUAUUUUGGCUUGGGAAUUGGCUAUGGGAUUAAUAUAUAUAUAAAUUUUAUUUUAAAAGUUAAGGUCUAUUGUAGUAUAUAGUAUUAAAUUUUAAGUUUUCUUAGAUUUAGUAAUUUCCUUUUGCAUGAACAAAAUUUGUGCCAGCAGUAGCGGUUAUACAAAUUAUGUUAGUUAAUUAUUUUCAGGUUUAAUUAAGAGUUUAUUUAUUAAAUUUUAAAAGGAGUAUUUUUAGGUGAAAUUUAAUUUUCUUUUAUGGUUUUUAGGUAGUUUUUGAUGUUAAGAAAUUUUUUUAUAGACUAGGAUUAGAUACCCUAUUAUUUUGAAUGUAAAUUUUUACCUUGAUUAUUAUUAGUUAUGGUCUUUAAAAUUAAAAAAUUUGGCGGUAUUUUAGUCUGUUCAGAGGAACCUGUUUUUUAAUUGAUGGUCCACGAUAAUUUUUACUUUAAUUUUAAAUUUAUAUAUCGUCGUUUGUAAAGAUUUUAUUAGGAUGAUAAUUUUUUUGAUUUUAGAUAGUAAAUUAUUUCAGAUCAAGGUGUAGUUAAUAUUAAAGAUUGAAUGGGUUACAUUAAAUUUAUUUUUGGUUUUAAUAUUUAAAAUUUUAAAUAAACUGGAUUUGAUAGUAAAUUAUUUGUUUAUGGUAAUUGAUUUAGCUCUAAAAUAUGCACAUAUCGCCCGUCGCUUUCAUUUUAAGAUGAAAUAAGUCGUAACAAAGUAGGCUUAUUGGAAAAUGAGCCUGGAAUGA
rnacentral:ncRNA from 1 species